GACGAACGCUGGCGGCGUGCUUAACACAUGCAAGUCGAACGGAAAGACCCUGAUUUUGUGGGGUUCUCGAUUGGCGAACGGGUGCGUAUCACGUGAGUAACCUGCUCUUGACUUUGGUAUAACUUCAGGAAACUGGGGCUAAUACCGGAUAGGAGCUCCUGCUGCAUGGUGGGGGUUGGAAAGUCUCGGCGGUUGGGGAUGGACUCGCGGCUUAUCAGCUUGUUGGUGGGGUAGUGGCUUACCAAGGCAUUGACGGAUAGCCGGCAUGUGAGGUUGACCGGGCUCAUUAGUACUGAGAUAAGGACCAGAGUGCAACGUGGGGCAGCAGGGGGAAACCUGACCCAGCCGGAGGACGUCGGAGAAAGCAGCGUCGGGGGUGUGAUGCCGGUCUUUUGGGUGAGAACCGCAUUCGGCUGUGACGAAGCGUUAGUGACGGUACUGGGUGAAUAAGCACCGGCUAACUACGUG
rnacentral:rRNA from 1 species